GAUGAACGCUGGCGGCGUGCCUAAUACAUGCAAGUCGAGCGAACAGAUGAGGAGCUUGCUCCUCUGACGUUAGCGGCGGACGGGUGAGUAACACGUGGAUAACCUACCUAUAAGACUGGGAUAACUUCGGGAAACCGGAGCUAAUACCGGAUAAUAUAUUGAACCGCAUGGUUCAAUAGUGAAAGACGGUUUUGCUGUCACUUAUAGAUGGAUCCGCGCCGCAUUAGCUAGUUGGUAAGGUAACGGCUUACCAAGGCAACGAUGCGUAGCCGACCUGCGAGGGUGAUCGGCCACACUGGAACUGAGACACGGUCCAGACUCCUACGGGAGGCAGCAGUAGGGAAUCUUCCGCAAUGGGCGAAAGCCUGACGGAGCAACGCCGCGUGAGUGAUGAAGGUCUUCGGAUCGUAAAACUCUGUUAUUAGGGAAGAACAAAUGUGUAAGCAACUAUGCACGUCUUGACGGUACCUAAUCAGAAAGCCACGGCUAACUACGUG
rnacentral:rRNA from 1 species